rnacentral:rRNA from 1 species
AUACGAAGGUCCCAAGCGUUGUUCGGAAUCACUGGGCGUAAAGAGUACGUAGGUGGUUUGGUAAGUCAGGUGUGAAAUCCCGAAGCUCAACUUCGGAACUGCAUCCGAUACUGCCAGACUAGAGUAAUGGAGAGGCAGGUGGAAUUCUCGGUGUAGCAGUGAAAUGCGUGGAUAUCGAGAGGAAGACCAAUGGCGAAGGCAGCCUGCUGGACAUUUACUGACGCUGCGGUACGAAGGCUAGGGGAGCGAAAGGGAUUAGAUACCCCAGUAGUCC